GAAAUGCGAUAAGUGAUGUGAAUAGCAGAAUUCAGUGAAUCAUCGAACCUUUGAACGCACCUGGCGCCUUUUUGUAUUCCGAAAGGCCUGCCCAUUUGAGUGUCGUGAAAUCUCAAUCCCCCCGGGUUUUCUGAACCCGAGGUGGACUUGGACAUGAGUGUCUGCCGUCUCGUACGGCUCGCCUUAAAUGACUCAGUGGGAUCUUCAGCAUCCGUGGCAGACGUAAUAAGUUUCGUCUCGUCCCUUGCUGUGAGGACCGCUCAUAACCUGCCAUCGUGCACCACUUUUGACUCUGACCUCAAAUCAGGUAGGACUACCCGCUCAACUUAA
rnacentral:misc_RNA from 1 species